UACAGAGGUCCCAAGCGUUGUUCGGAUUCACUGGGCGUAAAGGGUGCGUAGGUGGUAAGGCAAGUCAGGUGUGAAAUCUCCGGGCUCAACCCGGAAAUGGCAUUCGAAACUACCUUGCUAGAGGGUUUGAGGGGGGACUGGAAUACUUGGUGUAGCAGUGAAAUGCGUAGAUAUCAAGUGGAACACCAGUGGCGAAGGCGAGUCCCUGGAAAACUCCUGACACUGGGGCACGAAAGCUAGGGGAGCAAACAGG
rnacentral:rRNA from 1 species